rnacentral:lncRNA from 10 species
CAGAGCGAGACUCCAUCUCAAAAAAAAAAAAAAAGAAAAAGAAAACCACCCCAGAGAAUGGAUGUGAGAAUUACAUCAGUUAACAUUUGCAAAAUCUUUAGAAAAGUGCCAGCACAAAGUGCUCAGCGAGUGCUAACUAGAACCUUUACUCACCUCUCUUCUGUGCUCUGUUUACCACAGCAGCUGGCAAUUCUUCAUUGUUUCAAAGUAUUUAUAAAUUAGGGAUUUGUGAAUAAAGGAGUUUCUGUUUUAUUUCUGGCCAUUCUCUCACAAGGCUAAUAGGGAGCUCUGGGUGGAUGGGUGGAUCUUGUUCACUGGUGGGAUUUACCUCAAGGCUGGGGAUGGACAGGCCUACAGGCUGCUCUGCUCUUAUCCCACAAGCCCAUGGAAGAGGACAUGUAAGGAUUCUACUCACAGGGCCCUGCCACCACUGAGAAGCAGAUAAUUCACUGUCUUGCUGCAAACUCCGUCUCUCCGUACGUGUGUGUUAGGCAGGGCCACUUUCUUAGCCAUCCACCAGGCAGUUCUUCAGGUAAACAUCUCUGUGUGUGCCUCUUAUCUUGCAAGUGUCUGCACCUGCUCAUUCAGGAAUGGGAUUCUUCCCUUCUUCCCCCAAAAGAGAGCUCCUACCUUUCCAGAGCCUUGGGUCAGCUCAGGACAGCAUCCACACUUGAGAUACUGGAAAUCCUUAACAAUUCUCCCUCCUCUGAUAUUUUUCCGUUCUACGCUGGUCUUCUUGGAAAUUCAUUCCCUUUCUGUCUCUUUACUCCUGUUGUUUAGAGAAAGAGAAAAUGUCUUAGCUCAUUUGGGAACUCAAAAUAAAUAAAUAAAUAAUGGUAAUCAUAAAUAAUAAAUUACUGUGGCUUACACAACAAAUAUGCAUUUCUCUCAGCUCUGGAGGCGAGAAACCUGAGAGCAGGGAGCCAGCACACUCAGGUUCUGGUGAGGGCCUCUUCCAGGGCGCAGACUGCUGAGCUACCAUUGGAUCCUCACAUAAUAGAAAGAAGGCAAGAGAGUGUUCUGGGGUCCCUUUGAUAAUGGCACUAAUCCAUUCAUGAAGGAUCCAUCCUCAUGAUCUCAUUAACUUCCAAAGGCCCCUCCUCCUACUGCCAUCAUGUGGGGGUUUGGGAUUUCAACAUAUGAAUUUUGGAAUGGCACAUUCAGUCCACUGCAGGAAAUAAAUAUGUGCUUGCUCUGUCAGCUGAACCAGACACUAAACUCAACUGAAAAUUUUUACUUCUUAGAUAGAUGAUAUUCCAUGCUGAAGGGAUACUUUGAGUUUUGCUAUCUAGGAACACUUGGCUAGCUGCUGGUUUACACAUCCUUCUCGCAGGUCUCCAGGCACCUUGUGCACACCUGUGCUGUAGAUGUGGUCUCACUGCACACCCAUGUCUGCUUGUCCACCUCCGCCAUUAUGGCAGAAUGGGCAGGAGCAUCCUCCCAGCAUUCACGGUCACUCACACAGCACCUGAUACAUGCUCAGCAUCUUCCCACGCCUUCACCUGUUCCCCACCUCACUACACAAGAGGAUUUGACAAGAUCACAAAUUUAUACUGAACCAAGACAGUGGAGUUCUAAAACAUUUGGCCCAAAGGAAAUGUUCAGUAGAGUUGAGGUAUAACACCAGUUAAAGGAGUGAGCAGUGGGGAAGAGAUGACAUUCAGGGCCUCAGGGCCUCUACAGUCAUGAAAACUGGGCUACGAAUGUGGCUUUUGGCCUCUGGGAGGCCACAGGAAGAGUGAAGCACAUUAGAAACACUUAUUUUGUAUAUAAUGUGUUCUUGAAAGCAUGCAUAAAAGACAUUUCAAAACAAAUAGUAUUAUACUUUUAGCUGUGGUGGCAGCUGGGUGGAUGUGCUCUGUUGCCAGAGACUGAAAACUAGCUUAAAAUAUCUGAACACAUUGUGCCUUUCAGGCACAAUAUUUAACACAUUUCAUUGAAUCUAGUUCUUUUCCUUUAUAAUGCAACCAUCUGAAAGUCUAUUGAGAUGGAGACUUAUGCAUGCCGCUCAUUGAUCAAUUCCAUCUCGGCCUUAAUUAUAUUACAGUGAUGGGACCAACAUCUUUGUUACUAGUAUCAGCAGCUUCAUUUUUCUGUUGUAAUUUAUUUUUUGAAGCAUAAAAUAACAGACACAUAAAUAGUGGCACAAACACUGGCUUACUGAGCUGGACCUUUAGGAGGCGGGCAUUGCUGCACCUGAGAAAGCUACUAACACUUGUCAACUGAUGCGCAAAAGUCCAAAUUCAGACUGUGAAACAUUUAAUUCUACCAAUAUAUAAUUAAUGCAAGUCAAACACAUGAAAGUUAAAGAAGACUGUAAUCACAACAUUUACAUUUUUUCCAAAAGAAGAAGUAACUCAAUUUACGACAAUAAACAAUCCAGGCCUCAGAGUCUUGUACAUUAGAAAGUUGGACCCCGCCCCACAAACACACACACACAAACACACACACACAGGUGUAGUUUAGAAGACAGACGUAGGUGUAAAUGUUUUUACUAAGGUUUUCAUUUGCCUGGGUAAGCUAACAUACAGAAGGAAAUGUUUUCUGAUAGGUAAUAUGUAUUCUUACCCUAAAUAAAUUAUUAUUAUUUAUAUAUUUUUUAAAAGCAGGGCUUACCCACGGAUGAAAGAAGGUUAAAGUUGAGAUUCGUUCUCCAAAAUGGCAUUCCUUCUGUUUGAGUUUUGGUGGGUACCUCACCAAUAUAGAUGCCAACUAUUUCCAUAAUCCGUAGCAAGUUGCAAAAUCACCCGUUUUAGUUCAGGUAGUACUUGCUGCUUUAAAAAAGAAAUCCCCACAUCUCGAAACUUAAAAUAAAACUUCAUAGCCUGGCAUGGUGGCUCUGGCCUGUAAUCCCAGUGUUUCAGGAGGCUGAGGUGGAAGGACUGCUUGAGGUCAGAAGUUUGAGAUCAGCCUGGUCAACAUAGCAAGACCCUGUUUCUGCAACAAAUGAAAAAAAUAACUAGGUGUGGUGGCGCAUGCCUGUAGUCCUAGCUACUCAGGAGGCUUAGCAAGAGAAUUGCUUGAGGCCAGGAGUUUGAGGCUGCAGUGAGCUGUGAUUGCACCACUGCACUCUUGCCUAGGCAACAGAGCAAGACUCUGUCUAUAAAAAAUAAAAUAAAAUAAAUUGAACUUACGACAUCUGAAUUUUAUUCCUGGACAUAGACCAUCUCUUAACCCCUCUGGCCUCAGCUUUGGUAUCAGCACAAUGGGAACAGUAUUACCCACCACCCGGCAAUGUGGUCAGUGUAAAAGAACAUAACAAAUAUCAGUGAGCCUCCCACCCUCUUAUAUCUGGAGUGGAAUGUGCUUUCUGCGUGGAGUGCUGCGUGUCUCUGAAGUUCCCCACAAGCCAUUGGCCCUCACAGACUUUGUUCUUCACUGUCAUUUCCAAGUCUGUCCUGGUUACUGUUGUGUGUGGUGUAGAUAAAGCACUUCUCAUUUUCUUAGUAUCUCGACUACAGGGGAAAAUUAUAGUCAUUAACGCAUACUAUUAAAUUAUGUCAAACACUAGACUCAAAAUUUCUGCUGAAUACCAAGUAGGUUUUGGUUAAAAGGAAAAUCUGAUGUAGAUUUAGGACUCUGCUUGGGAUUGUCCCUCUAGCCUCCCCUCUGCUCUGCCCCAUCUUCUUCAAGGUGGUAUAAUACGUUGCUGAAUUUCAAAGGAGAUAGGAAUAAAUAGCCCGUGGGAGAUCUGGGCCAGGGGUAAAGUCCAACCUUGAACCUGGCAGUGUCAGACUCUGGACCUGAGUCAGGGGCUGCGGUGUACCAGCGCAGCUGUGGGAAGAAGCAAGUGCCCUCUUCCCAUGCAGCCUGGCUGUGGCAGGUCUCCCAUGGGCACCCUCGGGUCUAACCUUGCGGCAACCUUGCAGCCCCCAAAUGCAAGCUCCUUUUAAAAAAGUGGCAGUCACGUGUUUACCAAAGUUUUCACUGGGAGACCCAGAAAAAGGUCUCUAUCACUCACCGCCUGUCAGACAACUUCAGAACCUGCCCUGUAACAUUGCAGCCCCCGUCAUUCCCCUUUCCUGCUACCCGUCUGCCAGCCACUCAAUUUCCCCUGGCCCCACCCCAACCCUGUAUUAGCCACUGCCUUACUUUUCAUUUAUUUUUCUGUUGUGUGUUGGAAAAUUCAGCUCUGUACCAACUCCUCCUCUCCUGCAUCUCCAUACUCAUCACCCCCUCAGCAGGGGGCCCUGAUGAGGGAUUCACCUCCCCGCCAUCUCCAUAGCCAUCACUCACUCAGCAGAGGGCGCCUGAUGAGGGAUUCACCUCCCUGGGAGGCAGCUGGGGUGGUAAUGUACACAUUUAUAAGUGCUUUCCUUUCUCUCUAUGGUACCAUGGAUGGCACAGUGUGAGGCUCUACGACUCCAGCAAUGAUUAAGAAGCAGGUCUUGGCCAGGCAUGGCGGUCACACCUGUAAUCCCAACACUUUUGGAGACCAAGGUGGGAUCAUUGCUUGAAGCCAGGAGAUCAAGACCAGAUUGGACAGCACAGCAAGACCCUGUCUCUACCAAACACUUUAAAAAAUAAACUUUGUGAGGUGUUGUGCACCUGUACUCCCAGCUGCUCAGAAGGCUGAGGCAGGAGAACUGCUUGAGCCUAGGAGGUCGAGGUUGCAGUGAGCUGUGAUCCCACCACUGCACUCUAGCCUGAGUGACAGUGAGAUUUUGCUGAAAGAAAGAAAGAAGGAAAGAAAGAGAGAAAGAAAGAAAAAGAAGGAAGGAAGAAAGGAAGAAAGAGAAAGAAAGGGAGAAAGAAAGGAAGAAAGAAAGAGAAAGAAAGAAAAAGAAAGGAGAGAGAGAAAGAAAAAGAAAGGAAGGAAGGAAGCAAGGAAGGAAGGAAGGAAGGAAGGAAGGAAGGAAGGAAGGAAGGAAGGAAGGAAGAAUCAGGUCUUGUCCACAAAGUGCUCUCCCUCUGUGGGGUGAGCAGCCAGCUUUCUGUGCCUCUGUGGGGUGAGCAGCCAGCUUUCUGUGCCUCUGUGGGGUUAGCAGCCAGCUUUCUGUGCCUCUGUGGGGUGAGCAGCCAGCUUUCUGUGGUGGCUUAGUUUUCCAUCAUGCAUUUAACGUCGUUCAUCACUGUUUGUGCUCAUAAGAACCCCCUCCAGGAAGACAGACUUCCUCAUCCGCACACAGCAGCAGGUGAUGCAGGGCCUGUGAGUUGUGGCUCCUCUGGCAUCACAUGGGGAUCUCAGGCAGAAUAGACCACAGCCUCUCAUGUUUUAAGAAAAUGUGGUUUUGAUUCUAUAAUAGAAAACUCACAGGCCAUCCAAGAGAAUUCCAAAUGACGAAAUGAACAGAGCAGGCUUCAUUACCACACGGAGCCUCCCUCUCUGUGGAGGCAUUUGGAAUUUGGUGAGGACUCACCAUGUCCCUAUAACAAGAACCAGGGCAGUAUCUGGAACCUGCACCCCAAGGCCUCCCAGAGAGGAAAACAACAGGGCAUUCCCAGGGAAUCGCGCCUUCCCCUUGCUCUCAUCUCCAACCUGCCCCAUCUCCUGGAAAAACAUAGAAUAAACUUUCUGCUUUGAGUCUGGAAUUUGGAGCCAGCUCUGGUGGAAGGAAGAGGGUGCCAGCCCUCCAGAUACCCAGCCGCCAGCCCUGGGCCCCUUCACAACUUCCGUGGUGCCUCUUCCUUUCUGGCAGAGUUGCUGAUGGGAGCUGAGCAGGGCCAUCCAUCCGUGCAGCUGCAUAUGUUUAAUCAGGGGUCUGUCUGACGGUGCUGGGGCUCAGCGAAGCAGCUCCCGCGCUGCGAAAAAGCGCUGAUCGAUGCUCCACUGUUCUUUCAUUUAUGGGUGGCUCUCCUCCUCCCAUGCCCUCCCCCUCCCCCACUGCUUCUGUGCACCCAUGACAGCGUGAGAGGCUUGGGAGAGCAAGACUGCUCCAGCAGACGCCUUCUUGCACAUCCAGAAAACCAGGGGACAGUUUCCACGUGGACUUGGAGGGGCUGGAGACGCAGCUGCACCAGGCCGCCCUGCAAGUAGAGGGAGGAGGUCCCGCGGAAUGGCUUCACUAUAGUCUUCCCAACUGUCGGGCAUUCUGCCCUCUUCCUUUUAGGCGCAGAUUCCUGUACAGUUCAAAGCAGUAGCUGAAAGAGGCAUGUUAAGUAGUCAACAAGGCUCCUGGAAGCUUUGUCACUCACCUCCAGUGUUCAGAUUUCCCGUCCUCGUAGACCAGGGCCUUUUGACCUGGGCCCCACGGACAUUUUGGCUGGAUCAUUCUUUCUUGCAGGGGCUUUCCUAUGCAUUGCAGGGUGGUUAACAAGGUCCCUGGCCCCCACCCACUGUAUUCCAAUAGCACCUCCCUCAACAGUGUGAACAACUAAAAGUGUCUCCAGGCAUUGCCAAACAUCCCCUGUGGGUGAAAUCACUCCUAGUUCGGAACCACUGACCUAAAUGGUCCUGACAUGGCAGAGCCGUGUUCUUUCUUCUGCAUCCUUGCUGUCAUCCCAUCGUCACAGCAGCAGCGUAACCACACCUUCAUCACCACCAUCACCACCAUCAUCAUCCCUUAGGCAGCAUCUGUGUCAGUCAUGAUUACUAACAUCCAUUCAUGAUGAUGGAGGACCUUGUGAAGGAGCUGUGCUGCUCCCCAGGUGCCUGGCAUGUUCCUGGAAAUGUGUGCAGACUAACCCAAGAUCCCUGGGAACCCUAAGAGGUUAAUCCUACUAUGCCCAUUUUAGAGAUAAGAAAACUGAUGAUCACGGAGCCUAAGUAACUUUUCUCGAGAUGCGGCAGAACACAACUGUGCCACCGUUUAACCUAAGCGGGAAAUUUUGUUCACUGUACUCUGCUGCCAUACACUUCUCUUUGUUCCAUUAUCUCUGCCCUUAAGCUCCUGGCAAUGGUCAGGCACAGGCUUGGCAUCCACAUCAAUGUAAGGAACAGGAAUCAAGUCAUUCAGCUUAGCUCAAGUAAUUCAAAUUAAUGUUAACCUUGUCUGUUGAGGCAAUAAAGAAUUGUUGGCAACACAGGACUAAUCCCAGAAUUCUGGUUCCAACUUUGACUUGCUCUGUGAGCUGAGACAAGCCACUUGAACUUUCUAAGCCUCCCACACUUUAUUUGUAAAUGCACUAAUACUUGUAAGAAGAUAAGAACCACACCUGGAUACAGUUAACCCUCAGUGAAAGCCGCGUGUUACUAUUAGUGACAGAUGCUCUCCGGGUAAAUCAACAUCUGUCUUUUUGUUCUCUCUGCAAAAGUGGUUGGGGAGUUGCUGUGUGAGCUUAGGGGAGAUUAGAACCCCAGUGUUGGGGUCAGACAGGAAGAUGCCUGGCUGCUUCUCUCAAUUUCUCCUCUGAGAAAUGGCAGCUUGUCUUGGACAGAGCCCAGCCUGGGUGACAGAGGUCCUGAAUUUCAGUUUUGGGAAUGGACCACAUACAGCAAGACCGAGCCCUGGGCCAGGGAGGAGGCUGGGAGACAACCCAGGGUCACACCAAAGUCAUGCCUAGCGACCUGCCAGGGCCCUGAUUUCCUUAUCUACACAUUAGGCUAGAUAAUCACAAAGCUCCUACAUCAGCAUGUUGUACAACAGACAGUUUUACUCACCUGCUAUUGUAAUGCAUACACUAGCACCAUCUAUUUCAGCGUUGGAUGAGGUCUUUCUCCAGUGCUGACUGGGCUGGCUAAGGCCAGAGAGUGGUCGGGCUCCCUCCCUGGAACAGCUCUCCAAUGGCUGACACCCAUCCUUGCCCAUCUCUGACAGCAGACACCCUGCCCAGGAUUAAGGACCAGAAGUGCAUAUAUAUAUAAUGGAUAGAUAGAUAAAUCAAUAGAGGCUUUUUCCUUUUAUACAUAUUUUAUCUUUUUCUUCCCUUUUAUCUUUCUAUAGCAACAGAUUCUUCAAACAAGCUGCACGCCCAUGUGUACUUAGGCGUGCUUUUCUUAGGCAGAAAGCAGGACAUGCAAUCAGGUUCAUACACAGCAGGUGUGACUUCAUGAACGCAUCUGAAGAACCGAUUGGCUGGACACGUUUUUAAAGAUGUCUCCUCUUGACCUGUAAUCUGAAGAUUGAUUUUGCUGAAAGAAAGGGCUGAAUUGCAGGUCAAUACCUUUUUUUAAGAACCUUCUCACUUUAAUUAAUUGUCCUUACAAAGUCCUAGAUUACAGCUGAGGGAUAGGUGAUAAGAAAUUAAUGAAAGUGCAGAGCGUAGGGAGGAGGCUGGGAGACAACCCAGGGUC